rnacentral:rRNA from 1 species
CACGUAGGGACCAAGCGUUGUCCGGAUUCAUUGGGCGUAAAGAGCUCGUAGGCGGUUCGAUAAGUCGGGUGUGAAACCUCCAGGCUCAACCUGGAGACGCCACCCGAUACUGUCGUGACUAGAGUAUGGUAGGGGUAGCGGGAAUUCCCAGUGUAGCGGUGAAAUGCGUAGAUAUUGGGAAGAACACCAGCGGCGAAAGCGCGCUACUGGGCCAUUACUGACACUCAUGGACGAAAGCUAGGGGAGCGAAAGGG